AUUGAACGCUGGCGGCAUGCCUUACACAUGCAAGUCGAACGGCAGCGGACCUUCGGGUGCCGGCGAGUGGCGAACGGGUGAGUAAUGCAUCGGAACGUGCCAUUGAGUGGGGGAUAACGUAGCGAAAGUUGCGCUAAUACCGCAUAUUCUGUGAGCAGGAAAGCAGGGGACCGCAAGGCCUUGCGCUCUUUGAGCGGCCGAUGUCAGAUUAGCUAGUUGGUGAGGUAACGGCUUACCAAGGCGACGAUCUGUAGCGGGUCUGAGAGGAUGAUCCGCCACACUGGAACUGAGACACGGUCCAGACUCCUACGGGAGGCAGCAGUGGGGAAUUUUGGACAAUGGGGGCAACCCUGAUCCAGCCAUGCCGCGUGAGUGAAGAAGGCCUUCGGG
rnacentral:rRNA from 1 species